GACGAACGCUGGCGGCGUGCCUAAUACAUGCAAGUCGAACGCUGACGGAGGAGCUUGCUCCUCUGGAUGAGUUGCGAACGGGUGAGUAACGCGUAGGUAACCUGCCUGGCAGCGGGGGAGAACUUUAGGAAACGAUAGCUAAUACAGCAUAAGAGAAGACGUUGCAUGACAUUUGCUGAAAAGUUGCAAUUGCCUCGCUACCAUAUGGAGCUGCGUUGUAUUAUCGAGUUGGUGGGGAAAGGGCACACCAAGGCGACGCUACAUAGCCGACCUGAGGGGGGGAUCGGCCACACUGGGACUGGGACACGGCCCAAGCUCCUACGGGAGGCAGCAGGAGGGGAUCAUCGGCAAUGGACGGAAGUCUGACCGAACAAAGCCGCGUGGGGGAAGAAGGGUCUCGGAGUGGAAAGGUCCGUUGUAAGAGAAGGACGAGCAGGAGGGUAGAAAGUUCACGUUGUGACGGUACCUAACCAGAAAGCAACGGCUAACUACGUG
rnacentral:rRNA from 1 species